GCGCCCGUAGCUCAGUUGGAUAGAGCAGCAGACUUCUAAUCUGCAGGUCGCAGGUUCGAAUCCUGCCGGGCGUGCCG
rnacentral:tRNA from 1 species